rnacentral:lncRNA from 1 species
AACACCUGCUCUCACCUGAGCCCCAGGUGAAGGGGCCUGGAACACCUCCUGUCACCUGAGCCCCAGGUGAAGGGGCCCGGGAACACCUCUCACCUGAACCCGGGGGUCCCAUCCCAGGAAGAAGGGCCAUCUCAGGACAUGAGUCCUCAGGGGCCCUGCACAUUCAAUCUGAAGGUGACCCUGGCCUGGCUGAAGCUGGAAGAGCUGUGGGGACUCAGCCUGUAAACAGAGCGUAAGGUUCACAUGCUGGUUGCUUAAUCCGUUUCUGGAGGAAAAGUAUGACCCCCACUUGUGAUGGGGUCCUUGUGCGGUGGGGACCGGGGCCGGCGGGCUCCAGGCCAGCACACCUAACCCAUGGAUGUGGAACCUACGGCCCAGAAGGAAUGUUGCAUGAGUCGGAUCCCAGUCCAUUGUCAGUGGAGGGUGAGGGUGACCCCAUCUGAUAUUUUUGUGCUCAUCCUCAUACAACCAUUUGGGGAUGUGCCUAUUAGGGCUCCGUAAGAGCUCAGAUGCCUGGGAAGCCCAGCCCCUCAGGUGCCCCCACACACAGCCUUCCCUUGACGCCUACAUUUCUAGGCACAUGUGAGGCAUCUUUCCUGGAGCCCCGAGCCAGCCCUGUCCCUCCCCAGUGCAGCAUGGCACUCAGGAGAUACAGGCUGGACAUGGGGCAGUCGUUC